UUCACUGGAUCUUGUUGUUUGGGCACCUGAGACAAGCUGGCAGUCACUAAAUCUCAGCGAUCACUCAAUGUGUGCCAGGCAUUCGCACACAAUAUCACUAACACCCAUGACAGUCCUUCAAGAGAGGUUCUGCUGUCUGAGAGAUUAUGUGACACGCCUAAGGUCACAGGAUCAGCAAAUACUAGGGCUGAGAUUUAAACCCAGAACUGUCUACUGCCAAAGCUUUUGCGCUCUCCCUCGUGCCACGUUGCUUCUCAUUUUGGGCUUGGUCUCCACUUCCCAGUCCUUGAAGGAGUUCUCCAGGUCUGCCCCAUUAGCACUGCAUCUCAGAAGGAAGCUGCAGCUGCGCCGCCAAUCUCCCGGUGGUAGGUGCUUAAUAAACAUUAUGAAGUGCAUGAACAAAUGAAUAGCCCCUGAUGGACAGACAUGCUUGAGAAACACUAUUUUUCACAUUCCUAUCUACACUCAAGAUUUUACCUAUGAUAGCAGGCUGAAGAUUCCCAGGAUCUUACAUCCUAGCAGCCCUAACAGUUCAGCUGAGCUGAAAGGAUGAGGAGGAAGCCCUUGGCGAUGGAACUUCUAGACAAGCCAAGGCCUGCCUGGCAGAGCUGGGAGCAGAUUGAGGAAGACACCACUGCCCCUCCACCCACCCCGCCGCCGCCUUCAUGUUGCCUUGAUCUUCUAUCCUCAGCUGACAUUUUUGUCGCUCAUCUCUGAUUGAAGAAACCUCAGUUUCUUAUUUGAUCUUUCCUGGACAACCGUUUAAUAGGCAGCAAGAAAAAGAGAUGAGAGAAAGUGAUUUUUCAUCCCUGACUUGACAUGAUAUUUUCCUUUUAACAAUUUAUCCAUACCUCUCCUCUCAGUUUCUCUCCUUUCAUAUACUCACAUACUAUCUGCCUCUCUGCAUAGCAAAGCAACCUUUUGAGCAGUUCUCUAAGAAGAUUCUAAAAAGCAAGGAAAAAGCAGGAUCACAAUAGCUCCUUCCCCAGUUCAAUUCAGCAAGCUUUUCUGAGCACCAGUCCAGAUGCAAGGCACAAUGAGAGGCAAGAUGAAGAAUGGGGGUUACUCUAUCCUCAUCGGACCAAUUUAGAAUCCAGUACAUGCACAUACAGGAAAAAUCCAAUGUGUUCAUCAUCUGUGUGUUCCAUAAUCAUUUACUGAGCACCUUUUAUCAAAAAGAGAAACCAUUUUUAAAGUAAACUGGAUUCUCUAUUAUAACAACAGUGAAGUUUGGCAAAAUGUUUUCCUCAUGUGAAGGCUUGAAUUUAAAGAAUUUUAAUUUAUGUUCAUUAUGAUUCAAUCCAACAUUUGUCUUUUUGUAUGUAUUAGAUCUUGCGAGGGACACAAAGAUAAUCAAGUUGUGGAUCUAGGUCUUAAGACGUAUAAAAUUGAGUGGGUCUAUGUCUUCCAAUACACAAAGUCAAGUGGAGAGACAUAAAUAACACUAACUUCAGUGCAAUGUAUACUAAAGGAUACGGAAUGACUUAUUCAGCAGCUACUAUGUGCCUGGUGCUUUACCCAUAUGAUUAAUAAAGCAUCUUUUGGUGAUAUUUACUGUUCAUGUAAUCUAUGGUCUAAGCCUGGUGACAUGGUCUUGAGAGGGAUACAAACAUGUAAUUACAAUGUAACAGGAAGUAGUGACAGGGAAAAUAAGAGAGAAUAGCCGGGACAUCUAAUCUGAUUUGGCAAAUCAAAGAAGGCUUCCAGGAAGAAGUGACUUCUGAGCUGAGUCCUGAAGAAUGAGUCAUCCAAAUAAAUCAGAGGAGGAGAUUGUUUUUGGCAGCAAAAAUAACAUGCACAAAGUCCCAAAGGCAGCGGGGAGACUUAUGUUCCUCAUCCAAUAAGAGAGGAAGCUGAGGUUCCAAUGAGUUAUUUAACUUACCAAAGAUCACACAGCUGGUGAUUGACCGAAGUUGGAUUUGGAUCUGGCGUGAGUAUCUUCCACCUAUAAAUGUUAAUAACAGAGGAAGAGAGAUAGAUUUUGAUUGAUGACAAUAGGGAAGCCUUUGUUAAAUUGGGUUUUGAAGAACGAAGUAAAAAUGGAAAGGGAAGAAUUGACAGAAACCAAGAGAGUGUUGAGGGGCAGCAAAUCCCAGUUUGACUGGAAUAUAGAGUGAUGUCAGGGUUGGAAGGAGGUGCUUUGAAAAAUUAAGUUGGAAAGAUGGAAAUGUUUUAGAUGGAAAGACCCAUCAAUCAAGUAAAAGAUACUUCAUUCCCACCGCAGGAUUAAGUCAAUAAGGCACUGGACACUUUAAGUGUCAGAGGAAAAGAGAAGACAAAAUACUGAACACUGCAGUAUAGCGACAGAGGAGCCCUGUAAUGACAGGCACUCCUCUGACCUGAGGUGAAUGAACACAGAAUCUUCAAUGUGUCCAAGGGAAGGGGACCCAGAGCUACUGGUAGACUAUCACUCCCAGAAUGCCUUUCAGUGAUCCACUUUCUUAGCCCACACUUCCUUCUAUUCUUCUUCCUUUUUUUUCUUUGUUCCUUCUUUCCUCCCUUACUAUCAAAAUCAUAUUUGAAUCUAUUGUUUCUUGGGAUAGAUAUGUCUGCUUGAAUAACAAAGAGGCUUUAUAACAAAGUCACCAAGAGAACAAAUUGCUUCAAAACCAGGUUUGAUGGACUAUCUUAAUGUAUGUUGGACUUCUCAUGAUUGUGUCUGGCUACCAAGCAAAUAAUAGUAAAAAAAUUAAAACUCAUUCCUCCCAAUUCAUGUUUUAAGAGCAAAUUAAUAAUGAAAGAUCUCUUUACAUCACAAAAAAGAAAGGAUUUUUUAUUUACUGUUGUUUGUUGUUUAAGUCCAGCAAAACUGAAGUUCAUGUGAAAGAAUAGGUGCAAAUGGUCCAAAAUCUCCUAAAGGAAGGCAAGGGCCUGAGAGGUCAAUGGCUGAGCAGCACUUGCUAGCAAUUACCAAUCAAUCCUCUUCAGGGCAGGAUAAUGGAAACCUACAUGGUAUAGCCUUUACAACCAGCAGA
rnacentral:lncRNA from 1 species